AAUAAUGUAGGUAAGAUCCUAGAUACUACAUCGAACAGGACUUACGUUUUGUCUCAUUGUGUGAUCGAAAUACUUGAUGAAAGUGCUGUAGUAUCCCAAAAAUGAGUCGAAACCUCGGUGACACGGCGUGUGGUCUACCGAAUAGUAACCGACGUGCCAUUUUCCGACUAAUCUUGUCGUGUACCCCAAAUUUUUCAGGUGGCGUGGGAGCAAAGGGGUUCCCAACGGGAUUCCCCAGCGUUCGCCAGCUACCAUUGGGAACCCUUGCAUUCCUAGGAAUUCGUAGUCGAAGG
rnacentral:misc_RNA from 1 species